ACUCAAAUGAAUUGACGGGGGCCCGCACAAGCGGUGGAGCAUGUGGUUUAAUUCGAUGCAACGCGAAGAACCUUACCAAGGCUUGACAUCCCUCUGCCCGGUACAGAGAUGUACCUUUCCCUUCGGGGACAGAGGAGACAGGUGGUGCAUGGUUGUCGUCAGCUCGUGUCGUGAGAUGUUGGGUUAAGUCCCGCAACGAGCGCAACCCUUAUUACUAGUAGCCAGCGGGUUAAGCCGGGCACUCUAGUGAGACUGCCGUGGAUAACACGGAGGAAGGUGGGGAUGACGUCAAAUCAUCAUGCCCUUUAUGUCUUGGGCAACACACGUGCUACAAUGGCUGCUACAAAGUGACGCGAAACGGCGACGUGGAGCAAAGCACAAAAAAGCAGCCCCAGUUCGGAUUGUAGUCUGCAACUCGACUAUAUGAAGCUGGAAUCGCUAGUAAUCGCGAAUCAGCAUGUCGCGGUGAAUGCGUUCCCGGGCCUUGCACACACCGCCCGU
rnacentral:rRNA from 1 species